CAGUCAGUGUAGUCAGCUCAGCUUUCCCCAUUGAGACCGUGUCUGUACCUCGAUCUAGGUUGGGCAAAACUCAACAUGGCGGUGUUCGCUUUAGCAAUCUCACUGGAAUAAAGAUCUCAUCCAUUCCUGCCAUAUCUCAAAAUAGGGCUACUUAAUGUUAGAUCCCUCACUUCCAAGGCAGUAGUAGUCAAUGAAUGGAGGGAGAGAGUAGAGAGAUUUGCAUUUUUUUCAGCAUGAUUUGACAAAAAUAUAGAUUUAGAGAUAGAUUAACUUGGAUUUUUCCGCAAGGUCAUAUACAGGAUAUUACCCUCCACAACAUAACCAUCACUCCAAAUAAAAACUCCAAACCUGCAACCUGAUUUUGAACAAAAUUACCUGGAAGGAUUCCUACUAUCAAAGGUUCUUAUUUCCAAGGACUUUACAGCUAAUGCUCUGGCAAACCAACAACCAGCAAACGAAGCACAACAGAAACCCGAAAACACCAUCCAACCUGGAACUGAGCUGUGUCUGGCUCCAUCAUCUCCUGUGGGCUGAACACCUUCUGGCAAUGGGACAGGUGGUGCCAGCCGGACCUUUCCUGAACCGCCGUUGAUGUUGCCAUGGUUACCUGGAAUGGCCCCCUCCAUCUUGGCUGAUUCCAUUUUCUCUCGUGGACACGUAUUUUGACCCAGUCUCCAACCUCCACAGGCAGGCAGUCGGGGUCCUCACCUGGUACCUCCUCCUGAGCUUUCCUAGUGUGAUAGUGGAGAGAUCUGACAAUAGUAGUUAGCUCUUUCAUGUACUCCAAGUGUUCUACUUCAGCUAGAGUGAGGUCUAUUUGUCUGUCAGUCAUGGGUCUGUGGUACGGGAACAUUCAUGGGUCUUCUUUUCAACAUUUAAUGUGGUGUACACCCCAGGCCUUUAUUAACAUUACUGCACAUUUUCCUUAACACCAGUGGUAAACAAUCCAACCAAGAUUUCUUGGUGGAGUGGCAUGCCUUAGCUAACCCUUGUUUAAUGGAUUGGUUAGCUCUCUCAGUAACCCCAUUACUCUGGGGGUGGUAGAUGGACAAAAACUUCUGGUCCACUCCCAUCAUUAUGGCUACCUGCUUCACUACAUCACCAGUGAAGUGGGUACCAUUGUCUGCAGAUAAAACCUCAGGAACACCAAAUUGCCUCCACCCACCUAGUGAACCUGCCAAUAAGGACUAAACAGUACCUUUUCCUUUCUUUUCUUUCAGCAAGAUUUAUAAAAUCCAUGGCAAGAUGGACAAAUGGUCCUCUUGGCGUAGGGAAAUGACCUGGUUUCAGAGGUGCUCCUUUGGCAAAUGUUAAAUUGCAUGCACGUAGCACAUCGAAACAGAAACUGUUUCACAUGCUGAGUCAAAUUUGGACAAAACCAAUCCAAAGAAAUUGCUUCUAUCAUAUCCCUCCUUUACAAAUGGGCCAUACCAUGGGCCACUUGGCAAACAGAGGCGAUAAGACAAGUCUGUCUCCAAAUUUUAGAAAGAGGGUCUAGUUUACAACCCCGCUGUUGCCAUGCCAAAUGAGAACCAACAUCCAAAGCCUGUUUAGAUGCCAAAUCAUCAAUGUCUUUCCCAACAGUAGCAGAGAAGAACAUGGAGUGGCUAUGACACUUGGAGGCAGCCAAUUUAGCAGCCUCAUCUGUCACGGCGUUACCCAUACUCACAAAACCUUUCCCUCCAGUGUGAGCAGCAACCUUCACAAUAGCCAAAGCAGAGGGCAGCAUCAUAGCCUCCAAAUGAUCUAAAACCAUAGUUCUAUUACGAAUAGGACUUCCACUAGCAUUGUGAAAACCCCUACUCCUCCAGACACCACACCAGGAGGGACAAACCCCUAUUGCAUAAGCAGAAUCAGAGAAAAUUGUAACCCUUUUCCCUUCCCUUUUACAGGCAGUGGUUAGUGCCAAAAGUUCAGCCUGUUGACCUGAGAAAGCAUCUGGUAAUGGUUGUUAUAUGUGAGUGGUUCUAUCAACUGUCACAAUACCAAACUCUGCAUGUUUCUUCCCUGUAGUUUGAUCUAUAUAUGCAGAACCGUCAAGUCAGCAUCAGUCAGGGCAGUGUCAGAGAGGUCAGGCCCAGCCUUCAUUGGUGUGGGACCCACUGUCUCCGCACUGCCUUUGGUUGAAUCUGUUAUGGUGCCCCGUGAUUUGGUUUUAAUCAGGUUCUAUGUAAUGUGGACUGAGUGACUUAUCUGUAUGGUACUGUAGAAAACCCCAGUUCUAUGCCCGUAUACAAGUAGUAGAACGUAACAUAUACCCAACACAGUUCUAUUUUCUCUAACCCCUCUUCUUCUUUAGUUUCACUACAUUUAUUCACUAACCACGCCACUGUAAAUGGUUCCACAUAUGUGUGGUAAAUAACCACAAUUGGUUUCAAUUGUAUUUUAACUUCAGUACGGGGGUCUCCCUGGCUCCUCUCUUGUGGAUGUAAUAGAAGAGUAAACUCACAACAUGUCUUUCCCAAUAGGCAAUUCGCAAAUGUAUCCCUUCUUGUACUUGAUGCCCUCAAUCUCUCACAAAAUGUCACUGAACCCACCAGGUACAACCCCAAAUCCGUAAACACCGGCACCCUCAUAGAUAUCAUCCUAACCAACUUGCCCUCCAAAUUAGAGGUCGACCGAAUAAUCGGAAUGGACGAUUAAUUUUAGUUUUCAUAACAAUCAGACAAUUUUAACAUGAUUUUUUAACCCUUUAUUUAACUAGGCAAGUCAGUUAAGAACACAUUCUUAUUUUCAAUGACGGCCUAGGAACGGUAGGUUAACUGCCUUCAGGUAAGAACACCAUACAUAAAACCAGUCUUCCCUCAGGUAAGAACACCAUACAUAAAACCAGUCUUCCCUCAGGUAAGAACACCAUACAUAAAACCAGUCUUCCCUCAGGUAAGAACACCAUACAUAAAACCAGUGUCUUCCCUCAGGUAAGAACACCAUACAUAAAACCAGUCUUCCCUCAGGUAAGAACACCAUACAUAAAACCAGUCUUCCCUCAGGUAAGAACACCAUACAUAAAACCAGUCUUCCCUCAGGUAAGAACACCAUACAUAAAACCAGUGUCUUCCCUCAGGUAAGAACACCAUACAUAAAACCAGUCUUCCCUCAGGUAAGAACACCAUACAUAAAACCAGUCUUCCCUCAGGUAAGAACACCAUACAUAAAACCAGUCUUCCCUCAGGUAAGAACACCAUACAUAAAACCAGUCUUCCCUCAGGUAAGAACACCAUACAUAAAACCAGUGUCUUCCCUCAGGUAAGAACACCAUACAUAAAACCAGUGUCUUCCCUCAGGUAAGAACACCAUACAUAAAACCAGUGUCUUCCCUCAGGUAAGAACACCAUACAUAAAACCAGUGUCUUCCCUCAGGUAAGAACACCAUACAUAAAACCAGUGUCUUCCCUCAGGUAAGAACACCAUACAUAAAACCAGUGUCUUCCCUCAGGUAAGAACACCAUACAUAAAACCAGUGUCUUCCCUCAGGUAAGAACACCAUACAUAAAACCAGUGUCUUCCCUCAGGUAAGAACACCAUACAUAAAACCAGUCUUCCCUCAGGUAAGAACACCAUACAUAAAACCAGUGUCUUCCCUCAGGUAAGAACACCAUACAUAAAACCAGUCUUCCCUCAGGUAAGAACACCAUACAUAAAACCAGUGUCUUCCCUCAGGUAAGAACACCAUACAUAAAACCAGUCUUCCCUCAGGUAAGAACACCAUACAUAAAACCAGUGUCUUCCCUCAGGUAAGAACACCAUACAUAAAACCAGUCUUCCCUCAGGUAAGAACACCAUACAUAUAAAACUUUCAAUCACUUGUCACCCAGUACCUCAGUACUGACUUGGUUCAUCCUCAUCUAUAACCAAGUUCCUCACACAAGGUUUCAUUAGACCCUCAGGAAUUUCUAACUAUUACACCUGGGAUUCUGUGUCAUUUCUCACAUAUACAUCAUAUUACGGGCUUGUACAUAAAUGUAGGUAUCGACUGUUCCUGUAAUUAUCAACCCCAUGAGUGAGGUGCCACUUACAUACUGGAAUGAGUCAUCAACCACACAGUGCUUUUUCUCAUUUCAGACUUUUGGUUUAACAGGCGUCUGCUUACCUUAUAAUUUGAUGCGCUGCACAGUGGGACGAAGAUCAUCCAGACGCGGCGGACACUCACUCCUGGUUGGUGUGGAUGUUUUGGAUCAGAUGGCACGGCAAUACUCUGUGAAAGGAGGCACCUGAAGCUGGCCUGUCGCUUUGUUCUACAACAUGCUUGAUUUGGCUGCAAUCAAAGCAAACGUGUCGUUCAAGAAAUGCAUGAACAACACCCUUGCCCAUUAGAGACUUCAUCAUGAGUCUGGCAUACGGGUUACGUGAGAGACAUCUUAGGGCCAAGGCAGCAGCAGAGAUUCCACGCAAGCCAAAUUGUGCACAGCUCCCGGGGAGGAGACAGUGCCAGGUGGCCAAAAACACAAAAAACCAAACCCAAGACACCAGUGUCACCUGCAAGCGAAGUGUUUUGUGGGAAGUUUGUAUCAUUUGUAUCAACUGUUAGGCCAAGGAGUAACCGUUAAAUGAAAUCCAACUGAUGCCAUUGGGUGAAGAACGCACGCCAUGUAAGCACGAGCUGACAAUAAUUGACUGCUGUCAUAUCGACACUUACAGUAUAUUCAUUAUAAUGCCAUGAUGAUGUUUAGGUCACUGUUUUCAUCAUUUGACCACAGAUUUUGCUGUCAGUGCAUCUUUGUAGUUGGAGUAUAUAUAUAUAUUUUAAAUAGCGUAAUAAAAAGAAGCUGUUACCAUGUUCCAAAACAUAUGGUUUCUGUUUCAUAGUAGAAUCAAAGUCACUCCACUAAUAAAAUCGAUUGAACAGUUGAUUUUUUUUUUUUUUUACAUAUAGCCUACAGUAACAAACUAAUUUGAAAUUGAAGAAAAAAAUGGUUCUAAUGCUACCUACUGCAUAAUACCUGACACCUUCAUGAACACAACCAAAUGAUUAUUUUACCAAUAGCAUAUAUGAAAUGUAUUAAUUACAUGGUUAGAAUGUUGUGGCGAAAUCCUUCACGGUGCCUUCACCGUGCGCUGCCACUUUAAGAGUGCAUCAGCAGUCAGA